rnacentral:rRNA from 1 species
GAUGAACGCUGGCGGCGUGCCUAAUACAUGCAAGUCGAGCGAACAGACGAAGAGCUUGCUCCUCUGACGUUAGCGGCGGACGGGUGAGUAACACGUGGAUAACCUACCUAUAAGACUGGGAUAACUUCGGGAAACCGGAGCUAAUACCGGAUAAUAUAUUGAACCGCAUGGUUCAAUAGUGAAAGACGGUUUUGCUGUCACUUAUAGAUGGAUCCGCGCCGCAUUAGCUAGUUGGUAAGGUAACGGCUUACCAAGGCAACGAUGCGUAGCCGACCUGAGAGGGUGAUCGGCCACACUGGAACUGAGACACGGUCCAGACGCCUACGGGAGGCAGCAGUAGGGAAUCUUCCGCAAUGGGCGAAAGCCUGACGGAGCAACGCCGCGUGAGUGAUGAAGGUCUUCGGAUCGUAAAACUCUGUUAUUAGGGAAGAACAAAUGUGUAAGUAACUAUGCACGUCUUGACGGUACCUAAUCAGAAAGCCACGGCUAACUACGUG